rnacentral:rRNA from 1 species
ACUCAAAUGAAUAGACGGGGACCCGCACAAGCAGUGGAGUAUGUGGUUUAAUUCGAUGCUAAGCGAAAAACCUUACCGAGGCUUGACAUCCCGCGAAGUCUCCCGAAAGGGAGAUGUGCCCGCAAGGGAGCGCGGUGACAGGUGCUGCAUGGCCGUCGUCAGCUCGUGUCGUGAGAUGUUGGGUUAAGUCCCGCAACGAGCGCAACCCUUGUUAAGUGUUACUUUUUCACUUAAGACUGCCCGGGUAACUGGGAGGAAGGUGAGGAUGACGUCUGGUCAGCAUGGCCCUUACGCCUCGGGCUACACACGUACUACAAUGGCCGUUACAACGGGUUUUGCCAAGCCGCAAGGUGGAGCUAAUCCCAUCAAAAGCGGUCUCAGUUCGGAUUGAGGGCUGAAACUCGCCCUCAUGAAGCCGGAAUUGCUAGUAAUGGUGGAUCAGCAUGCCGCCGUGAAUACGUUCCCGGGUCUUGUACACACCGCCCGU